UCCGGAGCCCACUGCUAUCCCGACAGGUCUUUACGCACGAUCCACGUCCUUCUGUCCGCGUGGCUUUACCAGGAAGCGCAGGGGACCCACCAGAGAGCGCUGCGCUCCCGACCGCCAGGAAAUGGAAUCAUUGGCAUUCAGGGACGUGGCCAUUGAUUUCUCUGAAGAGGAAUGGAAAUGCCUGGAGCCUGCUCAGCAGAAUUUAUACAGAGAUGUAAUGUUAGAGACCUACAGAAACCUGAUCUUCCUGGCCAUGAACUCUCAUUAUACCCAGAAAAUUUCACCUGAGUCUUGCAUAAAACUUUUUUUAAAAAAAGUGAUAAAGAGAAGAUAUAGAAAUUGUGACCUUGACUAUUUACAACAAAAGAAAGUACAGGACAGUGUAGGUGAGAAUGAAGAUUGGAAAUCCUAUUAUAAAGGACAAGACAAAUCAGUAGUGCAUGUCCAUAAUGAAAAUUUUACUGUCAGCAGACCUGAAGAGCAUUUAAUACCUCAGAAAAGUAUUCCAUAUAUAACUGAAGGACAAAUUUCUAAAAAUGAUCAUUUAGAAAGUUUCUUUAAAAACUGUCCAUUGUUCAGCAAUGAACAAAAAAUUCCUUCUUGUGCCCAUACACACACUUUUAAUUGUUGUGGGAAGGCCCCUGUGUACUCAUUACUACUUAAUCAAAAUUCAGAUACAGAGUUCUGGAAAGUAUGGAACACACAUAAUGAAACAAGCAACACCUCUAACCAGGUUUCUACUCUUACCAAACACCAGAGAAUUCAUACCAGAAAGCAUCCCUACAAAUGUGAAGAAUGUGGCAAAGGUUUUAAUAAAAGUUCACAGCUUAAUCAACACCAUACAAUUCAUACUGGAGAGGAGCUCUACAAAUGUAAAGAAUGUGGCAAAGGUUUUACUCAGAAAGGAAGUCUUACUCAACACCAGCGAGUUCAUACAGGAGAGAAGCCCUACAAAUGUGAAGAAUGUGGGAAAGCUUUUACUCAGAGAGGAAGCCUUACUCAACACCAGAGGAUUCAUACUGGAGAGAAGCCCUACAAAUGUGAUGUAUGUGGCAAAUGUUUUACUAAAAGAAGUUAUCUUACUCAUCACCACAGGAUUCAUACUGGAGAGAAGCCCUACAAAUGUAAUGAGUGUGGCAAAGCUUUUAAUAAAAGAGAUCAACUUACAAUGCACCAUAGAAUUCAUAGUGGAGAGAGACCCUACAGUUGUGAAACAUGUGGCAAAGGUUUUACUCAAAGAUCAUGCCUUAAUCAACACCAGAGAAUUCAUAGGAGAGAGAAGCCCUACAAUUGUGAAACAUGUGGAAAAGGUUUUGCUCAAAGAUGUUACCUUGCUCAACACCAGAAAAUUCACAGUAUAGAGAAGCUCUACAAAUGUAAUGAAUGUGGGAAAGGCUUUACUCAUAAAGGAAGCUUUACUGAACACCAGCGAAUUCAUACAGGAGAGAAGCCCUUCAAAUGUGAAGAAUGUGGGAAAGGUUUUACUCAUAGAGGAAGCCUUCCUCAACACCAGAGAAUUCAUACUGGAAUAAAGCCCUACAAAUGUGAUGUAUGUGGCAAAUGUUUUACUAAAAGAAAUUACCUUCCUCAACACCAGAGGAUUCAUACUGGAGAGAAGUCCUACCAAUGUAAUGAGUGUGGCAAAGCUUUUAAUAAAAGAGAUCAACUUACAGUACACCAUAGAAUUCAUAGUGGAGAGAAGCCCUACAGUUGUGAAACAUGUGGCAAAGGUUUUAUUCAAAGAGCAAAGCUUAUUCUACACCAGAGAGUUCACAGUAGAGAGGAGCUCUACAAAUGUAAUGAAUGUGGGAAAGGCUUUAAUCUAAGAGCAUGGCUUACUCAACACCAGAAAAUUCAUACUGAGCCCUACAAAUGUGAUGUAUGUGGCAAAUGCUUUACUCAUAGAUAUUAUCUUGCUCAACACCAGAGGAUGCAUACUGGAGAGAAGCCCUACAAAUGUGAAGAAUGUGGGAAAUGUUUUAUUAUGAGAGCACACCUUACUCAACACCAGAUAAUUCAUAGUGGAGAGAAGCCCUACAAAUGUGAAGAAUGUGGGAAAUGUUUUACUAUGAGAGCACACCUUACUCAACACCAGAUAAUUCAUAGUGGAGAGAAACCCUACAAAUGUGAAGAAUGUGGCAAAGGUUACUCUCACAGACAGUACAUUAUUCGACACCAGAAAAUUCAUAGUGGAGAGAAGCCCUAUGAAUGUGAAGAAUGUGGGAAAUGUUUUACUAUGAGAGCACACCUUACUCAACACCAGAUAAUUCAUACUGGAAAGAAGCCCUACAAUUGUGAAGCAAGUGGCAAAGGUUUUACUCAAAGAGCAUGCCUUCUUCAACACCAGGGAAUUCAUACUUGAAAGUAUUGCUACAAAUGUGAAGAAUGUGGCAAAGCUUUUAAUCAAAAACCACACUGUACUCAAUACCAGAGAAUUCAUAACUGGGAGAGGUAAAAGAGUCCCACCAAGCUUUUCCUCUUGACUUCUGACUGACAUCAGGAUUGCAUCAGACUUUCAAGUCCCCAUGGAAAGGAGAUUUUAUUACUGUUGAACUAAACAUCCAAGGUGAUCCCAGGUCAUUUUGACCCACAUGGAUUGGUUCUAGUUGGAACUUGUUACACAUUUUGUUUUAGGGAGAAUUACUCUAUCUCCCUGAGUUCUGGAAUCUGGUCUGUGAAAGUGUCACACUCCACCCCAGGUCACUUGUAUUCGUACUGGCAGGGAGGAGCCUUGUGAGGCUGUGUUUCUUCCACAGAUAACAUGUUGUUUGCUGAGGAAUGUAAUAUGUUUUAUUUACUUAAGCUGGGCAGGGCUGUAGGUAAUUACUCUUUUAAAUUUUAUUUAUUUUUAUUUGUUUGAAUUAAUUAUACAUGAUAGAAGAAUGCAUUUCAAUUUAUUUAUGCAAAUGGAACACAGAUUUUUAUUACCCUGUUGUACAUUAUACAGAGUUGGGCCACAUGUGCAGUCAUACAUGUACCUAGGGUAAUGAUUUGCAUCUCAUUCCACCAUCUUUCCUGACCUCAUGCUCCCUCCACUCCCCUCCUUCCCUUUGCCCAAUCAAAGAUCCUCCAUUUACCCCAAGCCCCCCAAUUAUGGAUCAGUAUCCACUUAUCAGAAAAAACCAUCACAAAGAAAUAAGUAUCUGAAGUGUUGGAUGUAUCAAUUACCCUAAUCUGAUCAUUAAACAUUGUAUACAAGUAUUGAAAUGUCAUAUUCUACCCCAGAAAUAUAUAUAAUUACCAUGUAUGAAUUUUAAAUAAAUAUUUUAAAAGUAUAAAUAUUUAAGAUGGUAGAUAUAUCAGUUACCCAGAUAUGAUCAUUAUGUAUUAUAUGCAUGUAUGA